AGCGCAGGCGGGAAGACAAGUUGGAAGUGAAAUCUAUGGGCUCAACCCAUAAACUGCUUUCAAAACUGUUUUUCUUGAGUAGUGCAGAGGUAGGCGGAAUUCCCGGUGUAGCGGUGGAAUGCGUAGAUAUCGGGAAGAACACCAAUGGCGAAGGCGGCCUACUGGGCACCAACUGACGCUGAGGCUCGAAAGUGUGGGUAGCAAACA
rnacentral:rRNA from 1 species